AAGGGGCGAGCGUUAUCCGGAAUUAUUGGGCGUAAAGGGUGCGUAGGCGGUUAUUUAAGUCUGAUGUUAAAGUGCGGAGCUCAACUCCGUGAUGCAUUGGAAACUGGAUAACUUGAGUAUGGUAGAGGUAAGUGGAAUUUCUAGUGUAGCGGUAAAAUGCGUAAAUAUUAGAAGGAACACCAGUGGCGAAGGCGGCUUACUGGGCCAUUACUGACGCUGAGGCACGAAAGCGUGGGGAGCAAACAGGAUUAGAUACCCUGGUAGUCCACGCCGUAAACGAUGAGAACUAAGUGUUGGGGUUACCCAGUGCUGAAGUUAACGCAUUAAGUUCUCCGCCUGGGGAGUACGCACGCAAGUGUAAAACUCAAAGGAAUUGACGGGGGCCCGCACAAGCGGUGGAGCAUGUUGUUUAAUUCGAAGAUACGCGAAGAACCUUACCAGGUCUUGACAUCCUGUGCAAUGUUAUAGAGAUAUAGCGGAGGUUAACACAGUGACAGGUGGUGCAUGGUUGUCGUCAGCUCGUGUCGUGAGAUGUUGGGUUAAGUCCCGCAACGAGCGCAACCCUUAUCGUUAGUUGCCAUCAUUAAGUUGGGCACUCUAGCGAGACUGCCAGUGAUAAACUGGAGGAAGGUGGGGAUGACGUCAAAUCAUCAUGCCCCUUAUGACCUGGGCUACAAACGUGCUACAAUGGCUACUACAAAGAGUUGCGAUACCGCGAGGUGGAGCUAAUCUCAUAAAGGUAGUCUCAGUUCGGAUUGGAGUCUGCAACUCGACUCCAUGAAGUUGGAAUCGCUAGUAAUCGCGAAUCAGAAUGUCGCGGUGAAUACGUUCUCGGGCCCUUGUA
rnacentral:rRNA from 1 species